AUGCAAGAAAUUGUAUGUGGAUGUGCGGGCAAAGCUGGUGUGGAGAACACGAGGUCGUGUAGAUGCGAGUGCCCUGCAUUAAUAAGACUCCUCCGAUCAAAAGACAACGGUUGGUAUAUAGCAGAGCAUCGUGAACAGCAGAACCAUGUAUUGUCUCCAACGUAUGGACAGACAAUACACUGGCCAUCGCACAAGCACAUUGAUGCCUACAGCAGGGACUUGGUGGAGCAGUUGCGGCAGAACAAUGUGAACCUGGCAAAAGUGCACAGCAUCAUCGGCAGUUUUUUUGUUCAAUGGAGAAGGUGCCUUUCACGAAGCGAGCUCUGA
rnacentral:rRNA from 1 species